UCCCAGGCUCCAGUCACCUUCCCCUCCCCCUGCUUCCGCCCCGCCAAGACCAGCAGUCUAAGCCGCUGUCCCUGGUGCCUGUGCCUCGGGCCUUUUGGCCGCGUUUGUCCUCCUGACUGGGCGACUAGCUCAGGCGGAGUGGGCAUUGGGGGCGACUGUUCAUGGGGAAGAUAUAAAUAAUUAAUCGGUGUAAGAGUAUUCUCUGACGAGACACACGAAACCUGCAGUGCCUUAGUGCUCUCCAGCUGGCAUUUUGCAUCACAGCUUCCUAAAAAAGAAGACCCAGCAGACAUGAGUGAAAACAGCUGCCUGCACAAGUUGUCCCCUAACAGGUACAGCCAAGAGUCAGAAGCACAGAGGGAGCUGGGGAAGCGACAUUUCUUACAGAGCCCACUGCUGUCCCUGUGUGAAGUGGCUCAUAUCAGCUCUCGAUUCUAUGCCGGUGUUCUGGAUUUCCUCUUGAGAUGUGCAUUUGUAUCAGCCAUCCUGUCCCCUGUGCCUCUGACGAGCUCCCUUCUGGAUGGCCUGCUGUCAUGCUGAGAUGACCCUUCACUAACAUCUGAGAAGUCCCUUUGCUGUUCUACGGUGUGGAAAACUUGUUUCCUCCAUCUCAUGUCUUCUUCCUUGCUUAAUUCCUUUGUUUAAUGAAACAAAUUAAUUCCUUUGUUAAUGAAACUUCCCAAUAGUUUCCUAAGAAAAGUGUGUAAGUGGUCAACUAUUUGCAACCUAAUAUGUCUGAAAAUUCUACAUAUACUUUUAACAUGUAGUUUGAUUGGGUAGAUGAGUCCAGUGUGGAAAUAUUUUUUCAAAAAUUAGAAGCUAUUGCACUAUUGUCUUGUAGUAUGGUGUGUUGCUUUUGAGAAGUUGUAAGCCAUUUUUUUUUAAUCCUUUGUGUGUUUAUAUCUUUUCUUCUGUUUUUGCACCUCACAACCUUUUAUUUAUUUUUUCUCAUCAAUGCAAUAAACUUUCAUGAUGACAGGGCUUGUGUGGGUCAUGCUGUUCAAUUCUGGGAAAUUUCCUUGACUGACUUUAUUGGUGAUUUCCUCCUCUCCAAUUUUUCCAUUCUCCCUCUUUGGAACUUUUUAUUAUUUGGGUGAAACAUAAUUAUUGGUCUGUAGUGGUCUUCUAAUUGUCUUUUCUCUUUUAUUUUCCAUCUGUGUC
ensembl:lncRNA